CCUAUUGCAGCUCACAGAAGGAGCACCUAACUCACAUGAAGUCAAGGAAAGCUUCCUGGAAGAAGUGAUACUUCAAGCAAGUCUUAAGGUUUCCUCGUUGGUAGAAUGGGACUGGCCCUGGUGCCCCUGCUACAUGGAGUCUGUGGGAUUCAAUGAGAAGAUUCCUGGCCUGGCGUGGCUCAUGCCUAUAAUCCCAGCACUUUGGGAGGCCAAGUGAAUCGCAGUAAUUACCUUGGAGAGAGUUAUUGGAAACAGGCCACACAGUAGAAGAUCCAGUGACAUGUGUAAUGAUGUAACCAGCAUUAAAUAAAUGGACCUAGGGAACUGAAGAGACAAGCAGGUCUGUAUGGUUCCAAUAUAAACAGGUU
rnacentral:lncRNA from 10 species